GCAUAUCAUAAGCGGAGGAAAAGAAACCAACAGGGAUUGCCUUAGUAACUGCGAGUGAAGCGGCAAAAGCUCAAAUUUGAAAUCUGGCACUUCUGGUGUCCGAGUUGUAAUUUGGAGAGAUUUCUUCGGAGUGAACACUGGCCCAAGUUCCUUGGAACAGGACGUCACAGAGGGUGAGAAUCCCGUGUCUGGCUGGUUGUUUCAUUCCAUGUGAAGAGUCUUCGACGAGUCGAGUUGUUUGGGAAUGCAGCUCAAAAUGGGUGGUAAAUUUCAUCUAAAGCUAAAUAUUGGCGAGAGACCGAUAGCGCACAAGUAGAGUGAUCGAAAGAUGAAAAGCACUUUGAAAAGAGAGUUAAAAAGUACGUGAAAUUGUUGAAAGGGAAGCGCUUGAGACCAGACUCGAUUUAUGGUGAUCAGCAGUCCUUCUGGGCUGUGCACUUUGCCAUUCUUCGGGACAGCAUCGGUUCUGACUGUGUGAUAAAGGUAUUGGGAAUGUGGCUCCUUCCGGGGAGUGUUAUAGCCCAGUGCGUAAUGACACAAGUUGGGACCGAGGACUGCGCUUCGGCUAGGAUGCUGUCAUAAUGGUCUUCAGCGACCCGUCUUGAAACACGGACCAAGGAGUCUAACAUCUAUGCGAGUGUUCGGGUGGAAAACCCUUGCGCGUAAUGAAAGUGAACGGAGGUGGGAACCUUUCGGGGUGCACCAUCGACCGAUCCUGAUGUCUUCGGAUGGAUUUGAGUAAGAGCAUAGCUGUUGGGACCCGAAAGAUGGUGAACUAUGCCUGAAUAGGGUGAAGCCAGAGGAAACUCUGGUGGAGGCUCGCAGCGGUUCUGACGUGCAAAUCGAUCGUCAAAUUUGGGUAUAGGGGCGAAAGACUAAAUCGAACCAUCUAGUAGCUGGAUCCUGCGAG
rnacentral:rRNA from 1 species